GUUAGGAAUAUUGGACAAUGGGCGCAAGCCUGAUCCAGCCAUGCCGCGUGAGUGAUGAAGGCCUUCGGGUUGUAAAGCUCUUUAGCCGAUGAUUAUAAUGACUGUAGUCGGAAAAUAAGCCCCGGCUAACUUCGUGCCAGCAGCCGCGGUAAUACGAAGGGGGCGAGCGUUAUUCGGAAUCACUGGGCGUAAAGAGUGCGUAGGCGGCUUUGCAAGUUGGGAGUGAAAGCCCAGGGCUCAACCCUGGAAUUGCUCUCAAAACUGCAAGGCUCGAAUUCGGGAGAGGAUAGCGGAAUUGUCAGUGUAGCAGUGAAAUGCGUAGAUAUUGACAGGAACACCAGUGGCGUAAGCGGCUAUCUGGACCGAUAUUGACGCUGAGGCACGAAAGCGUGGGGAUCAAACAGGAUUAGAUACCCGGGUAGUCC
rnacentral:rRNA from 1 species